CCUACGGGCGGCACCAGUGAGGAAUAUUGGUCAAUGGACGAGAGUCUGAACCAGCCACGUAGCGUGAAGGAUGACUGCCCUAUGGGUUGUAAACUUCUUUUAUAUGGGAAUAAAAUGUUCCACGUGUGGGUUUUUGUAUGUACCAUAUGAAUAAGGAUCGGCUAACUCAGUGCCAGCAGCCGCGGUAAUACGGAGGAUCCGAGCGUUAUCCGGAUUUAUUGGGUGUAAAGGGAGCGUAGGUGGAUUGUUAAGUCAGUUGUGAAAGUUUGCGGCUCAACCGUAAAAUUGCAGUUGAAACUGGCAGUCUGGAGUACAGUAGAGGUGGGCGGAAUUCGUGGUGUAGCGGUGAAAUGCUUAGAUAUCACGAAGAACUCCGAUGGCGAAGGCAGUUCACUGGACUGCAACUGACACUGAGGCUCGAAAGUGUGGGGAUCAAACAGGAUUAGAUACCCUGGUAGUC
rnacentral:rRNA from 1 species